CACAGACUAUAUGUAAAUGAAAAUGAGUGCGACUGGAUGUGGCCCAGGGCAAGCCUGAACAAUCCAUGCCAUAGCUAUCAUUAAUUUUCCAAUAUGUAGUAAGAGGAAAGUAGCUGAACAGAUUCAGAGUAGAGUACUGAAGCUACUCACUGGAAGUCUCCCACCCAAAGAUCUAUACUUGCUAGGCCACCACUGUUUCAUCAGAAGAUGGGUUCAUUUAGCACUUAUUCAUUAGACAACAUCCUUACCAGAGACCCACAAGUGAAAGAAGGUACCAGAUGUCCUUGAAUUCACUGGCUGGAGGAGGUGACUAUGGCAAAGCGUUGGGCCACUUCAGCAAUAAUCUCCAUCAUCACCCUCCUUGAUAUUUCUCACAUUCAUCUUUGACUCAGGCAGGUCAAGUC